GAAGAGGCGGCCGGCGAUGCCAGUCUUAGCUACAGAAACGAGACCGACUGCACGCUGUCGAUGAGCGACAUUCGCAUGACGGUC
rnacentral:ribozyme from 11 species